CUGGCUGACCUGGGCUACAGGGCAGUAGAAAACACCCUAAAGAUAUGUACCACCCUUCUCCAUGAUCUGUGGUUCUGCCCCUCAGCUCUGCUCUGGUGAGACCCCACCUGCAGCGCUGCAUCAGCUCUGGGGUGCCCAGGACAGGAAGGACCUGUUGGAGGAAGUCCAGAGGAGGCCAAGAAGAUGAUCAGAGGGAUGGAGCACGUCUCCUAUGAGGACAGGAUGAGAGAAUUGGGAUUGUUCAGCCUGGAACAAAGAAGGCUUUUGUGCUUUUUCAGUGCCUGAAGGGUACUUGAAGGGAAACUGGGGCAAGACUAUCUACAAGAGCAUGUAGUGACAGGACAAGAUGGAAAGAGUUCAACUUGAAGGAGAAUAUGACUGAAAAGAUCCCUUUUGCUGCUUUUUGCAUCCCUCACCCCCUGCCCAGAACAAUUUUCAUUAGAUAGGAGAGACACUAUGACUGUUUUUGAUUGCAAUUUUACAUUCUGCUCUGUUCAUAAAUGCAAAAUAUAGAGGAUAUCAAGCACCAGUGAAAAUUCAUAUUUUUUGAGCUGAAUGAGAAAUGAUGAAAGCUGAAAUACUCCCUUUUAAACAGUAGCUGGAGCAACUACUGGUAAAGGGGACUGUGCACAUCCAAAGUGUGAUGCUGUGAUUAAUUAUCUUACUCACAAGAGGAAGAAAACAACUAUUAUCAUGGUAAAAUAAGAUAUUAUUCAGUGGGAAAUUAUAUCAACAGAAGCUUCAGGAAAAGAAAAGAAAGCUUUUGUAUGGUCUUUGGCAUGAAAACAAAACAAAAUCUGGAUCAAGUUAUAGUUGAUAUAAACAUUAGAAUCUGAGGUUUUUAUGACAUCAUUUAUGGAAUUUUAAUUAGUACAGAGACUCAUGAAGCUGUCAGACUACAGGGACUGAAGCAGAAAAUUAGGAUUAUGAAACUGUAAUGCAUACAACUCUGUUUUAUGUCAUCUAUUUUGAAUGCUAUGCCUUUCCUUUAUAUGUCAAAAUAAUACUAUAAAAUUAAUGUUUCAUUGCUUCUAUUGAUAAUCUUUCUUUUCCCAGUGGUGCUUUGGUUUCCUAAAUGUUAAUUUAGAGUGCAAUGCAUCCAACACAUAAAAGAAAAAUAUAUUUUAAAGAUGUUGAAUUAUCUAAUGUUAUUAGAUUAAAAAAAAAAUAUUAUUGUAAACGGAUAUUAUGCAAUUUGUUUUACCCUUCAGAACCAUUUUGCACUGGAAUGUCUGGAAGACACUAAGAUAACCUCUGUGACUUUAAAAAGCAGGUGGAAAACAACUCAAAAAGUCAGAUCAAACUUUCAUUUAUGUUAAUGUGAAUUGAGCCUACAAUGAAACAAUUAGCAAUGGAAAAAAAUAAAGCCCUGAGGAAUAAAAUCAAAUACCGACAUAAGUUCAAGUAACUAAUGAGAUCAAAUACUGAUUUUUUUUUCUUAUUUUCUUUCUAAAUGGAGGAUGUUCAGUCUGUGUGGUAUCUCAGGCCCUCAAAUAGAAACAGAGCCUGACAUUAAAAUGUAUUUUUCCUGAAGAGCAGUGCUAUCUCCUUUUCAAAGAAGGAAACUACACAGUAUUUUGUCUUCUCAAGUUCAAAAGUAAAUUUGAGGUUGAGGAUGUGCCUGAAUAGAAACCAAGGUCUUCUGAUCUAAUCCUUAGUAAAAUGUAAUCUUGACAGAACAGGUGGCCUCUCCCCUCAUCAAUCAAGCUGUAUUGUCUUCUGGCAGAAUUUCCCAAAGAUACCUAAGUAAGGAUAGAUACCCUUAUCUAUCCUUGUCUUAUGGAAAUGCACACUUAUUCAUGAGAAGAUACUAAAUUACACCAGUCUACCUGACUGUAAGUAAGCCAGAAAUACAGUUUAUUACUUGUCUUUUAA